AUUGAACGCUGGCGGCAUGCUUUACACAUGCAAGUCGAACGGUAACAGGCCGCCAGGUGCUGACGAGUGGCGAACGGGUGAGUAAUGCAUCGGAACGUGCCCAGUCGUGGGGGAUAACUACUCGAAAGAGUAGCUAAUACCGCAUACGAUCUAUGGAUGAAAGCGGGGGACCGUAAGGCCUCGCGCGAUUGGAGCGGCCGAUGUCAGAUUAGGUAGUUGGUGGGGUAAAGGCUCACCAAGCCCACGAUCUGUAGCUGGUCUGAGAGGACGACCAGCCACACUGGGACUGAGACACGGCCCAGACUCCUACGGGAGGCAGCAGUGGGGAAUUUUGGACAAUGGGCGCAAGCCUGAUCCAGCAAUGCCGCGUGCAGGAAGAAGGCCUUCGGGUUGUAAACUGCUUUUGUACGGAACGAAACGGCUCUGGUUAAUACCCGGGGCUAAUGACGGUACCGUAAGAAUAAGCACCGGCUAACUACGUG
rnacentral:rRNA from 1 species